rnacentral:rRNA from 1 species
AUCCUGGCUCAGGAUGAAACGCUAGCGGCAGGCUUAACACAUGCAAGUCGAGGGGCAGCAUGCGUGUUAGCAAUAACAUGUGAUGGCGACCGGCGCAAGGGUGCGUAACGCGCGAGCAACUUGCCCUUAUCAGGGGGAUAACCGUUGGAAACGACGACUAAUACCCCAUGGUGAUAUAUUCAGGCAUCUUUAUAUAUCUAAAGAAUUUCGGAUAAGGAUAGGCUCGCGUGACAUUAGCUAGAUGGUGGGGUAACGGCCCACCAUGGCGACGAUGUCUAGGGGUUCUGAGAGGAAGGUCCCCCACACUGGAACUGAGACACGGUCCAGACUCCUACGGGAGGCAGCAGUGAGGAAUAUUGGUCAAUGGGCGGGAGCCUGAACCAGCCAAGUAGCGUGAAGGAUGACUGCCCUACGGGUUGUAAACUUCUUUUGUUUGGGAAUAAAAGACGCUACGUGUAGCGUUGUGCAUGUACCUUACGAAUAAGCAUCGGCUAAUUCCGUGCCAGCAGCCGCGGUAAUACGGAAGAUGCGAGCGUUAUCCGGAUUUAUUGGGUUUAAAGGGAGCGUAGGCGGGCUGUUAAGUCAGCGGUAAAAUGUCAAGGCCCAACCUUGUCCUGCCGUUGAAACUGGCGGUCUUGAAUGCACACAAGGGAGAUGGAAUUCGUCAUGUAGCGGUGACAUGCAUAGAUAUGAUUCAGAACACCGAUCGCGAAGGCAGCUUGCUAAGCUAUAGUUGACGCUGAGGCACGAAAGCGUGGGGAUCGAACAGGAUUAGAUACCCUGGUAGUCCACGCUGUAAACGAUGAUAACUAGAUGUUGGCGAUAGACAGUCAGUGUCGAAGCGAAAGCGAUAAGUCAUCCACCUGGGGAGUACGACCGCAAGGUUGAAACUCAAAGGAAUUGACGGGGGCCCGCACAAGCGGAGGAACAUGUGGUUUAAUUCGAUGAUACGCGAGGAACCUUACCCGGGCUCGAACGGCAGGGGAAUCACCCAGAGAUGGGUGAGUCUUCGGACUCCUGUCGAGGUGCUGCAUGGUUGUCGUCAGCUCGUGCUGCGAAGUGUCGGCUUAAGUGCCAUAACGAGCGCAACCCUUGCCGUCAGUUGCCAUCAGGUGAUGCUGGGGACUCUGGCGGGACUGCCACCGCAAGGUGUGAGGAAGGGGGGGAUGACGUCAAAUCAGCACGGCCCUUACGUCCGGGGCGACACACGUGUUACAAUGGGAGGUACAGAAGGCAGCUACCUGGUGAUAGGAUGCCAAUCCCCAAAACCUCUCUCAGUUCGGACUGGAGUCUGCAACCCGACUCCACGAAGCUGGAUUCGCUAGUAAUCGCGCAUCAGCCAUGGCGCGGUGAAUACGUUCCCGGGCCUUGUACACACCGCCCGUCA